GAUGAACGCUGGCGGCGUGCCUAAUACAUGCAAGUCGAGCGAACAGACGAGGAGCUUGCUGCUCUGACGUUAGCGGCGGACGGGUGAGUAACACGUGGAUAACCUACCUAUAAGACUGGGAGAACUUCGGGAAACCGGAGCUAAUACCGGAUAAUAUAUUGAACCGCAUGGUUCAAUAGUGAAAGACGGUUUUGCUGUCACUUCUAGAUGGAUCCGCGCCGCAUUAGCUAGUUGGUAAGGUAACGGCUUACCAAGGCAACGAUGCGUAGCCGACCUGAGAGGGUGACCGGCCACACUGGAACUGAGACACGGUCCAGACUCCUACGGGAGGCAGCAGUAGGGAAUCUUCCGCAAUGGGCGAAAGCUUGACGGAGCAACGCCGCGUGAGUGAUGAAGGUCUUCGGAGCGUAAAACUCUGUUAUUAGGGAAGAACAAAUGUGUAAGUAACUAUGCACGUCUUGACGGUACCUAAUCAGAAAGCCACGGCUAACUACGUG
rnacentral:rRNA from 1 species